UAGGGAAUCUUGCGCAAUGGGCGAAAGCCUGACGCAGCAAUACCGUGUGAGUGAGGAAGGCCUUCGGGUUGUAAAGCUCUGUCACUGGGGACAAAUGGUUAGGAUGUGAAUAAUGUCUUAAUUUGAUGGUACCCAGAGAGGAAGCACCGGCUAACUUCGUGCCAGCAGCCGCGGUAAUACGAAGGGUGCGAGCGUUGUUCGGAAUUAUUGGGCGUAAAGCGCGCGCAGGCGGAUAUGCAAGUCAGAUGUUAAAUCUCGGGGCUCAACCCCGAACCUGCGUCUGAAACUGCAUAUCUAGAAUGUCGAAGGGGGAAGGGGAAUUUCACAUGUAGGGGUAAAAUCCGUAGAGAUGUGAAGGAACACCGGAGGCGAAGGCGCCUUCCUGGUCGACGAUUGACGCUGAGGCGCGAAAGCGUGGGGAGCAAACAGG
rnacentral:rRNA from 1 species